UUCACUACAGAAACAUGUCGGACGAAGUUGAACCUCCAGGUAAAAAGAAUAAGGCGCUAGAAAGCAAGAGACAGAAUCAACCUCCACCAUCAGCGUCAUAUUUGACAGAAGAACUCAACAAACUACAAAAAGCAAUCUUUUCCUUGAUAGCUGAGAGCAAGCAGAACUUCAAUCUAGAGGAGUUUCUCAGCAGUAAAAUUAGCAAGUUAGGAUCUUUGAUAGGUCAUUACUAUCAGGUUCUCACUGCGCUUGAAGUCCCUGGAAGAAAAGAGUUGAAUGCCUUGAUAGGUCAACAGUACAGUGACCCGGGCAUACAAGAUAGUGCUGAGAUGCUGAUGGAAGCUGAGGAAGAGUUUGAUGACUUCUUGAGGAGUGUUGAUAGGCAGAUGGUUGAUGAGAAAGAUGUUGAGGUCACCCUUGGAGGGAAGGCUCCUCUUCAUUUAAACCUUGUGGAUGUGGAAUGGAACAGGGAUACCAGUCUUGGAGACAUUCUGUCGUCUGUCAGUCCAAAGCAUCUAGUGAUGAUCUUACUGCGUCACUUUGCAUGACUGCCGUGACGUGACCAUACCGCUCUUGUCCAGUCCAACAUGGCGGGACUUGAGGGGCUAGGUGGUCACGUGGUGGUUGUUGGCUUUGGAAACAUGGUUGGCGCCAAGAAAUGGUUAGAGCAAACAAAUUGUACAUUGCCAAUGUAUCUAGACCCAGACAGGCGUCUGUACCAUGCAUUUGGUCUGAAGAGGUCAGUGUUCAAAAGCUAUAACAUCACAGCCCUUAUGUUCUAUGC